rnacentral:rRNA from 1 species
GGAUGAAAGCGUAGGGGGCAAGGCUUAUUACCUGCCAAUCGGAACCGGGAUUUGGGGGUAGCAAAUACUUUGAUGUGGAAGUGGGCGCCACGGGUGGCGUACGGCGUAAGCCAACCUACCUUUUACCAGGGGAAUAGCCCCAAAAAAUCGGGAUUAAUACUCCGUAACAUUGCGGUGUGGCAUCACACUGCACUUAAAGCUGAGGCGGUUAAAGAUGGGCAUGCGUGACAUUAGCUAGUUGGUGAGGUAACGGCUCACCAAGGCAACGAUGUCUAGGGGUCCUGAGAGGGUUAUCCCCCACACUGGUACUGAGACACGGACCAGACUCCUACGGGAGGCAGCAGUAAGGAAUAUUGGUCAAUGGGCGCAAGCCUGAACCAGCCAUGCCGCGUGCAGGAAGACGGCCCUAUGGGUUGUAAACUGCUUUUGUCAGGGAAUAAACCCCCGCUCGUGAGCGGGGCUGAAGGUACCUGAAGAAUAAGCAUCGGCUAACUCCGUGCCAGCAGCCGCGGUAAUACGGAGGAUGCAAGCGUUAUCCGGAUUCAUUGGGUUUAAAGGGUGCGCAGGCGGAUCGGUAAGUCAGGGGUGAAAUCCCACAGCUCAACUGUGGAACUGCCUUUGAUACUGUCAGUCUAGAGUAUAGUUGAAGUUGGCGGAAUGUGUCAUGUAGCGGUGAAAUGCUUAGAUAUGACACAGAACACCGAUCGCGAAGGCAGCUAGCUAAGCUAUAACUGACGCUCAUGCACGAAAGCGUGGGGAUCAAACA